rnacentral:rRNA from 1 species
AGAGUUUGAUCCUGGCUCAGGACGAACGCUGGCGGCGUGCUUAACACAUGCAAGUCGAACGGAAUCCAUGGUGUAGCAAUACACCGGAAGAUUUAGUGGCGAACGGGUGAGGAUCACGUGAGAAACCUGCCCCAGACUUUGGGAUAACAAUUGGAAACGAUUGCUAAUACCGAAUGACGUCGGAGAACCGCAUGGUCCACUGACGAAAGGAAAUCCGGUUUGGGAGGGUCUCGCGGCCUAUCAGCUUGUUGGUGGGGUAAUGGCCUACCAAGGCAACGACGGGUAGCUGGUCUGAGAGGAUGAUCAGCCACACUGGGACUGAGACACGGCCCAGACUCCUACGGGAGGCAGCAGUGGGGAAUCUUGCGCAAUGGGCGAAAGCCUGACGCAGCAACGCCGCGUGCGGGAUGAAGGCCUUCGGGCUGUAAACCGCUUUCAGCAGGAACGAAAAUGACGGUACCUGCAGAAGAAGGAGCGGCCAACUACGUGCCAGCAGCCGCGGUGACACGUAGGCUCCAGGCGUUGUCCGGAUUUAUUGGGCGUAAAGAGCUCGUAGGCGGUUUAGUAAGUCGGGUGUUAAAACUCUGGGCUCAACCCGGAGAGGCCAUCCGAUACUGCUGUGACUUGAGUUCAGGAGGGGAGCGGGGAAUUCCUAGUGUAGCGGUGAAAUGCGCAGAUAUUAGGAGGAACACCGGUGGCGAAGGCGCCGCUCUGGACUGAAACUGACGCUGAGGAGCGAAAGCAUGGGUAGCAAACAGGAUUAGAUACCCUGGUAGUCCAUGCCGUAAACGGUGGGCACUAGGUGUGGGUUCCAACUAACGGGAUCCGCGC